UGGAGUUGCAUAAAUACUUUACAUCUCUCUUCACGAUCGCUCCUGCUGAGGAUGAUGGGAGAGUGGACAGCCCUGCAGAAUCAGAUGAGAUGGUUGAAGACUACAAUGUACAGAUCCUUUGGAGUCGAGCAGGGAAAUGAGAGCAAAAUGUUUGCAGCUGUUGGCAAUGCAGGAGAUUUUGGAGAUUCAGUUUUGCCUUUCACAUCGUGCUUCUCUGAGAUGACCGAAGGAUGACCGAAGGAUCCGAGAAUGUAAUUCUGACAUAAAGAUCAACUCUUCUCCUGAGAUGUGGCCGCUGUCUCAAGAGGCUGAACAAUCUUCGUCAUCAUUGCCAAGAUCGGAAAGCUUUUCUCCACUUCAGACGAGGCUUCAGAGACCACAGCACCUGUCCACUGCCUCCGAAUCCUUUCUGUCAACUUCACGAACAGGAGGCCAGAAAGUGGAACUCAGUGACUCUCCAAAACCAAGAUCUUCUAAAGCACAACAGGACAAAUCCUCAGAGCUUCUGCCAACAUCAUCUCCUUCACUCCCAAAAUCCAAAUUAAAUCAAACUCUCCCAGGCUUUAAGGAGCAUAUUUCCACUCUCCUGGUGGAAUACCAUCUGUUAGGCCUUCUCAAUGGCAUUCUGCUGCUUUUCUCAUCUCCAAACAAAGUCCAAAACCUCCAGAUUCUCCGUCCCCAAGGUUUAGAUCAGUUUCUUCUCCAGUAAACCCAGUCCAAUCCAGACCUGCUCAUUCAAUACCUGUUUCUGAACCGAAAUUAGCUCAGCUGUCUCCAGAACAUGCCAUCACUACCCUAAGCACUGCAGUUCUGUCAUUAAAGCUGUCACUUAGCGAAUCAUCACAGUCUGGACUAGUCUCAGAUAGGAGUAUAUCUACUUUGCCUAUCUAUGACUCC